rnacentral:rRNA from 1 species
AGCCAACGCUGGCGGCAGGCUUAACACAUGCCAGUCGAACGGGCAUAGCAAUAUGUCCGUGGCAGACGGGUGCGUAACGCGUGGGAACGUACCUUUUGGUUCGGAACAACACAGGGAAACUUGUGCUAAUACCGGAUAAGCCCUUACGGGGAAAGAUUUAUCGCCGAAAGAUCGGCCCGCGUCUGAUUAGCUAGUUGGUAGGGUAAUGGCCUACCCAGGCGACGAUCAGUAGCUGGUCUGAGAGGAUGAUCAGCCACAUUGGGACUGAGACACGGCCCAAACUCCUACGGGAGGCAGCAGUGGGGAAUAGUGGACAAUGGGCGAAAGCCUGAUCCAGCCAUGCCGAGUGAGUGAUGAAGGCCCUAGGGUUGUAAAGCUCUUUUGUGCGGGAAGAUAAUGACGGUACCGCAAGAAUAAGCCCCGGCUAACUUCGUG